GCGAGCGGCGGAUGGGUGAGUAACACGUGGGGAAACCUGCCCCAUAGUCUAGGAUACCACUUGGAAACAGGUGCUAAUACCGGAUAAGAAAGCAGAUCGCAUGAAUCAGCUUUUUAAAAGGCGGCGUAAGCUGUCGCUAUGGGAUGGCCCCGCGGUGCAUUAGCUAGUUGGUAAGGUAAAGGCUUACCAAGGCGAUGAUGCAUAGCCGAGUUGAGAGACUGAUCGGCCACAUUGGGACUGAGACACGGCCCAAACUCCUACGGGAGGCAGCAGUAGGGAAUCUUCCACAAUGGACGCAAGUCUGAUGGAGCAACGCCGCGUGAGUGAAGAAGGUUUUCGGAUCGUAAAGCUCUGUUGUUGGUGAAGAAGGAUAGAGGUAGUAACUGGCCUUUAUUUGACGGUAAUCAACCAGAAAGUCACGGCUAACUACGUGCCAGCAGCCGCGGUAAUACGUAGGUGGCAAGCGUUGUCCGGAUUUAUUGGGCGUAAAGCGAGCGCAGGCGGAAGAAUAAGUCUGAUGUGAAAGCCCUCGGCUUAACCGAGGAACUGCAUUCGGGAAACUGUUUUU
rnacentral:rRNA from 1 species